rnacentral:lncRNA from 1 species
AUGUAUGAGAACCAGAUGCAAAAUUUUGGUAUUGAUCAAGUCACGCACUUUCUUUAUGCAGAGAGCAGGGCUGUGGAGACCCAGUUCACAUCUGGAGCCAGCAAUGUCCUGUUAGUGCAGGGAAUCAGCCCAGUAUCCUGCAGUGAUGCUGACCAGCCGUGCUUUCAUCGGUGCUUCGUGUGA